CUUCCCUGUGGGUCACGGCCUCUCCUUCUGCUGCUGUCACCUCUCUGAUUCUCUCCUGCUUGUCUGGCCCCAUGGCACCCCCAGGCCAGUCCCUGGCGGGGUGCUCAGAAAGCCCACUCAACCCUCCCCCGGAGUCAGCCAGCCCCUCUUCAGCAGUGUCCCACAGUUGUGGAGCCAGCGCAGGCUCUUACACUUAUUGGUUUUUCGGGUCCCUCUGUCCCUUCUCUUGACCUGCCUUGCCACCACUAUUGUCACCCUGAGCUCAUAUCUUCCUUUUAAUUCACAUGGCAUUGGCCUCCUAACCAAUGGCUAUAGGCCUGUCCUCUUCAAAGCCACCUUUCCCAGAACCCCCAAACACCUACCUGAUCCUUCUGCUCCCAGGUCUCACCCCCAUGGAACCCAGCAGGGGCCCUGCCCCUUCUCCCGCCAGCCAGGCCUCUCCAGAGUCCCUGCUCCAGCAGGCCCACCUUCAGGAUGCCUCUGCACCCACACGGACUGGCUGCUCCUCUGUCACCACCGAGACUGCUUGGUCUUGUAAUGGUCUGUUAUGUCCCAUGUACCCCUGCCACGUCUCCUGUCCCCAGCACCUGGCACAUAAAGGGACUGACUCUAUGUCACUGAAUGAGUGAAAUGAAAUGAAGGAAGGAAGGACAAGAAGCAGGGGUCAGGUGAGCAAAUGCUCCUAAGUAAGGGUUAAGAGGACAGGUGACCAGAGAGGCAGGUUGGAGGAGCAACAAUGCCAAGAGAAAUUAGAAGAGAGUGCAGAUUCAGCCGCAGGGGAAAAAAGCUCUGAAUCUACAACACACCCUUUCCCUAGCUGCUCCUGUCAGCACCCUCUCAAAGUGAGGAAAAGAAACCUGUUUUCCUUAUGACAAAGACUGAUUUGAUGAUAAACCUUCUCGGCUUCCCAGGAGGUGGCAGUGACUCUGAUCGGUGAGGAGGAGGCCGAAGGAGUAGACAGUCUGCACCUCCCACUCCAGGGGAAUCUAAUCCACUCAGGCCAAGGGAGGAAAGAGGAGGCGGCCCGAGGCCACACUGUCCAAGGGGGUCGCCAUCCGACUCUGAAGCCUGGAGACCCUGGAGCCCCAGAGUGAGUCUUCCCGAGGCCGUGACCAGAGGCAAGUGACAAUCAGACCCCCUUAAAAUGCUCCUUACUGCCCCCUCCUCAAAGUCCCCCCUCCUGGAAGCUGGGAUUCUCCCUCCCUCUUCAAGCUCUCCCUUAGGGCUCCUGUCUCAUGCUGGGCUCCCCCUUCUCCACUCAGUCCCUCAUUACCCUUCCGGGCCCGGUAGCCAAGCAACAGAUCCUUCCUCCUUAAAGGUUAUGUUUUCUCUGGUCACUGUCACCCUCUGCUUUGUGAAUCACGCUCACUUCCCUCCUGCCUUGUGUUUUUAGCAUGAGUAACAGGGACUGAGGACAUCAAGUUUUUCAGAGAAGGAUCCGUUGUGCUUACAAUAGAACCCUGAAGCCCUUCCUGUUCAGGGCCGGGCCUCUCUGGCCCCACCCCACCCCCAGCUCUGCCUGCUCACCUGGGCCUCACCUGGCCUCUUCUUACCUCCGCGAACUCGCCAUGGUUGCUUCUGCUCAGGGCCUUUGUACCUCUGUCCCCUCUGCCUGGAGUGUGUUCCUGCCACUUUGCUGGCUGCUGCUUUCUUCUCGUGGAGAUGUCAGCUCAGCCAUCACCACAGACGUGACUUCCUUGCCUGCCACACCUACUGUCACCAUCUUCCACUCCCAGUAUCUGAGGCUUCCUUUCGAACACCACUUCCCUCCCCAGUUAUAUGGUUUGUGAUGGUUUAUCUGUUUGCUCUGUUGUCUGUGUCCUCUCCCCCAGACUGAGAAGAGACCUGCCUGUUUCUUAUGCUGAUGUCUCUAACACUUAAUAAAGAGCCAUUCACAGAGGUAGAGGAGGAUGCUAGAGACAGUAAGGCAGGGGCAGGGCUGGAUCUCUGGGAAUCUCUCUGGCCAGCGGCCUUGUGGAUUCAGAGGGGCCUUCUGUGUCCAGCUCAGAAAACAGAGACCCAGGAUCCAUGUGAAAGGGAGGAUCUUCCUGGUCAGGAGUUGGCGGGUCCCCUGCAGCCUCUGAGGCCACUCUGCUCAGGGUAGGGUGAGUGUGCUUGCUCCUCAGCUUUGACACUUUGCCUGGUCAGGGCAUCUUCACAGGCCGUGGUAGAAGCUAUUUGGAAAACACCACCCACGAAGUAGCACUCACCUGGGCAUGGGGUGCUGGGACUUUGCUGGGUGAUGGCAGCAAAUAAGUGAAGGGCUCCCCUUGGGCCCCAGGUAAGGGACAAGUGGGCGGUUCCCAGACUCUUUGGAAGGAGAGGGGCAGCAAAUUUGGGGCUCAACCCGCUUGCCCCUCAGCCACAGUGCACAGGAAUGGCAGGGCUGGGGCUGUGCAGACUGGGCUGGCCCACCUGUGCAGUUCCUGUCCCCAUGACGGGGCUGCAGGGGGAGAGGCUCCCAGCUCAGACCUGGCAGGCAGUCGCCCCGGGCCUCGCUGUGAUUCUGUUUACCAAUAAGCAGGAAGAGCUUAUUGUGCUCAGGGCUCAAGGAGUGGAAACAAAUCAGAGACUAGGAGCUCAGGAGCCAAAAAGUGGGGCUCAGACAAUAGGUAGGAAGGGAGUGGGUGUGGGAGGGAGAUCUACAGGAAAGGCUGGGAGGAGAAAUCCAGGUGGUAGGUGCCGCCAGUUGGGGACAUUAGGAGAGGGAGGGAGGAGAAGGGGCCAUUUAGGGUCAGAUUUCUUUGCUUUUUGUUUUGUUUUGUUUUUUGGUACCGGGAAUCGAACUCAGGUCCUUGCGCUUGCGCAGCAGGUGUCGAAACCACCGAGCUAAACCCCCGGGCCUGGGGUCAGAUUUCUCUCGAGGUCUGUCUCCCCCACACAGGGGAGCUGCUCUGGCACAGUGUUUAUUGGGUGUGGUCUGCACAAGAUUCCCAUAGAGAGCAUGGGAGGAGACAUGCUUCAGCAUGUGUGUCAGACACCCAGCUCCAAUCCAGGAGGUUUGGAGGGCUUUGCAGACAGGCCAAGUUGGAAAUUCCAUUCUGCCUCUUACUUGCUCUGUGACCUUAGGCCAGGAACUGAACCUCUCUGAGUUCUUGUUGUUUUGGGGUUUUUUGCUACUGGUACUGGGGUUCAUGACCUUGUGCUUGAGAGGCAGGCGGCGGAACCACUGACCUAAAUCCCCGACUCUGAGUUCUUGAAUAAAAUCGGGGCAUUGGAUUGAUGAUACAUACAAUGCCAUGGGCUAGCCCAAGGCCAGGUGCGGUGUCUUACCCAUGGUGGCUGGGUAGCUUUCUGCAGCCUGGACCUCGGGCCCUGCUUAAACCGGAGGGGAGAUCCCCCUCUGCACCAGACAAAGGCCUGUCUGGAAACAGGAGCAGAGACCAAGGGACACAAGGACCACAUUUCUGCCAGCUUCCUGCCUCUCUGCCUGCUGUCACGUCUGCAGGGCUGACGUCUGCAUCUGCUGACUUCCACGGGACCUUAUCUUCAGACCGGCCUCUUCGGAGGGGCAGCAUCUACACCGAGAAGGUGAUUUCAUCCCAGGAAUACAGCUGAUCCAAAGACUUGAGCCACAAAGGCUAUGUUUUCUCCUCUGCAGGGCGUCUCAACAUCUGGAUAACUGCUUACCACCUUCUUAUUUUGCAGAACAUUCCCAGCAUAGCAGCCCUUUGUGUCCCUCUGAGCUGCUCUUUUUUGGGGUUAUCCAGGCCCUCUUGUACCCCGACAGUCCACCUCUUCGCUGCCUAUCUGUUCCCUGCCUCUAGCACUGCCCCACUGCCUGUCCCUAGAACACCUACCCUCCAGGGGUUUAUUUCUUAGAUUCCCCAAGAGAGACUCCACUGGUUUUGCAGGUGCGGACUCCAGAACCUGCUGACAGAGAGGGGGUACUCUGGAAGGAAGAGUCCCUCUUUUGAGACUGCAGGUUAUAAUCCCUGAGGGUUUUGGGUUAGGGGAAUUUGCCAUUCAAUCUCUGCUGCCCCUGGUGUCAGGAUGUCAGCAUGUGCGUGGAGGGCUGGAACCGCGCCUUCUUCAGCAUGGAUCAGAGACCGGCCAAGAGCUCUGGCAGCAGAGUCAGCUAGAGGCCAGCUGUGCUCCGGACAGGAUCAGAAGCUGGCUGUCUGUGCUUCCUUCCUUUUGCUCCUCCUCUUCAUCAGAUCCUUCUUUGUCCCUGAAAGCCAGGCCGAUGCCCAGCAGUGCACAUUCUCUUGCCCCUCCGUUCCUCUGAGGUGGCCGCAGUCUGAAGCCCCUCUGGGCCCCCUUGUGCCUGAACUGAGACACACAAGUAGAAAAGGACUCCGCAGACGGCUGCACCCGUGGUGCAAGAGGAGGCCCCGAGGCUGUUUGCUCCAGCACCUGAGCCUGGAAGGGAACACAGAAGGUGGCAGGGACAGCAGAGGGGAGAUACCUGUGUGCAGGUCCACUGGGCGUCGGGAAGGGCAGCACGGGCUGGACUGGGCUGAGGCUGGGGGGGGCCCCGGCUGUUUUGCCACCGGGUCGGGUCAGUCGGGGUGGGAGGACGAGUGGAAUGUAAACAGGCAUCUUUCCUCCGUCUUUCCCCGUGGUCCCGGCCACGCUGCGGAGACCGAGGGAGGAGACUCUGAGGCUGCCGGAACCCGGAGACCGCGAAGCGGCUGGCCGCGGCAGAGGCGACCUUGAGACAGAGGAGAACCAGAGUGGAGCGGGAGUCUGUGGGGAAGAGGGAGGGGCGGGAGGAAGGAGGGUGCAGG